rnacentral:rRNA from 1 species
GAGUUUGAUCCUGGCUCAGAUUGAACGCUGGCGGCAGGCCUAACACAUGCAAGUCGAGCGGUAGAGAGAAGCUUGCUUCUCUUGAGAGCGGCGGACGGGUGAGUAAUGCCUAGGAAUCUGCCUGGUAGUGGGGGAUAACGCUCGGAAACGGACGCUAAUACCGCAUACGUCCUACGGGAGAAAGCAGGGGACCUUCGGGCCUUGCGCUAUCAGAUGAGCCUAGGUCGGAUUAGCUAGUUGGUGAGGUAAUGGCUCACCAAGGCGACGAUCCGUAACUGGUCUGAGAGGAUGAUCAGUCACACUGGAACUGAGACACGGUCCAGACUCCUACGGGAGGCAGCAGUGGGGAAUAUUGGACAAUGGGCGAAAGCCUGAUCCAGCCAUGCCGCGUGUGUGAAGAAGGUCUUCGGAUUGUAAAGCACUUUAAGUUGGGAGGAAGGGCAGUAAUUAAUACUUUGCUGUUUUGACGUUACCGACAGAAUAAGCACCGGCUAACUCU